UUUUUUUUUUUUUUUUUAGGCUAAUACAAGUAAUUGUUGACCACAAUAAUGAUUGCAGCAGCGGCGUUACCAAGAAGGAAGUCACUAAGUCCAGCCCACACUGAAGAAGAGUUGAAGAUAAAGCUCUAUUUCCUAGAAGGAAUAAUUUUGAUUUGACCCAGUGCAUAUUUUCCUCUGAGAUCAUCAUCAAGAAGUUUCAUGCUGUACAAACACUAGUGGGUCUCUGUGAAGGUGACAGUUUUAAGACCAUUGGCUUGAAGUAGCUGCCUCUUCCCCAGACUCCUGUCCAGGUUAAGUCCACUCUUGAGGGUUUUUUUCCCAUUAUCUGUCUGUAUGCUUUUAAAAAAAUCUUUACUGUUGAAAGUAUUACAUAUA